rnacentral:rRNA from 1 species
AUGGUGUUCGAUAGUGUCAACCUUGGUGCUGGUUAUGUUGCUAGUCAAGGUUCCUUACCUGAAACACAACCUGAUGUUAUCCCUGACAGUGUUAGCAAGAAAAGGAACAAGAGGUCAAAGGCAUGGACACACUUCACAAUUCAGGUGGAUGAUCCGGAUCAUGCAAACUACAACUAUUGUAGUGCUGUACUGGGUUGCAAAUCCACAUCGGCAGACAAUGUUGAGAAAUUUGAGAGGGCAUUUGAGCAAUAUGCACUUCAUGAUCCCAACUACAAGACCGAGUUGGAAAAAACUGGUCCAGAACCUAAGCCCGAUGCUCUUGACCAGCGGGGUCCUCCAACUCAAAGUGAUUGGGUAUAUAUUCGUGAGUUCAAACAAUUCCUCCAACACUUCUAUGACCUCACUAAUAAGGUUUCUGGCACCAAGUAUGUUACAGGCAACACCUUCUUGGAAGAGAUUGCUGAUGUUAACUUUUUGUUGGGUGAAUGGAGUGAUCAUGUGAUUUGUGGUGAUGAUGAAAUAUUUAAAUGCAUGGCUCUCAAGAUGAAAGCGAAGUAUGAGAAGUAUUGGGGUGAUCAUGAAAAGAUGAACAAAUAUAUAUUCAUUGUGGCCAUCCUUGAUCCUAGGACCAAGGAAUCUCAUUUCUUUAAGGACAUGGUUGAAGACACCUAUGGCUGUAUAAUAGGUGUGGGAGCCCUUCGAUUGGAGGAUAAUGGUGUAAUAUCGAUUGAUUGA